rnacentral:rRNA from 1 species
UACGUAGGUCGCAAGCGUUGUCCGGAUUUACUGGGCGUAAAGAGCGCGCAGGCGGCUGGUCAAGUCCGAUGUGAAAUCUCCCGGCUUAACUGGGAAACUGCAUCGGAAACUGAUCGGCUUGAAGGUGGGAGAGGGUAGUGGAAUUCCCGGUGUAGUGGUGAAAUGCGCAGAUAUCAGGAGGAACACCGAUGGCGAAGGCGGCUUCCUGGACCAGCACUGACGCUGAGGCGCGAAAGCUAGGGGAGCAAACAGG